UACAGAGGUCUCAAGCGUUGUUCGGAUUCAUUGGGCGUAAAGGGUGUGUAGGUGGCGCGCUAAGUCGGGUGUGAAAUUUCGGAGCUUAACUCCAAAACUGCAUUCGAUACUGGCGUGCUUGAGGACUGGAGAGGAGACUGGAAUUCAUGGUGUAGCAGUGAAAUGCGUAGAGAUCAUGAGGAAGACCAGUGGCGAAGGCGGGUCUCUGGACAGUCCCUGACACUGAGACACGAAGGCCAGGGGAGCAAACGGG
rnacentral:rRNA from 1 species